rnacentral:rRNA from 1 species
CGUCGAAGGUAUACCGACAAGGAGUGCUGGAGCGAAUAGAAGUGAGCAUGCAGGCAUGAGUAGCGAUAAUUAAUGUGAGAAUCAUUAACGCCGUAAACCCAAGGUUUCCUACGCGAUGCUCGUCAUCGUAGGGUUAGUCGGGUCCUAAGCUGAGUCCGAAAGGGGUAAGCGAUGGCAAAUAGGUUAAUAUUCCUAUACCAACAUUAGUGUGCGAUGGAAGGACGCUUAGGGCUAAGGGGGCUAGCGGAUGGAAGUGCUAGUCUAAGGUCGUAGGAGGUUAUACAGGCAAAUCCGUAUAACAAUACUCCGAGAACUGAAAGGCUUUUUGAAGUCUUCGGAUGGAAAGAAGAACCCCUGAUGCCGUCGAGCCAAGAAAAGUUUCUAAGUUUAGCUAAUGUUGCCCGUACCGUAAACCGACACAGGUGGGUGGGAUGAGUAUUCUAAGGCGCGUGGAAGAACUCUCUUUAAGGAACUCUGCAAAAUAGCACCGUAUCUUCGGUAUAAGGUGUGCCUCCCUUUGUAUUAGAAUUCACUUCGAAAGCAAAGAAGGUUACAACAAAGAGUCCCUCCCGACUGUUUACCAAAAACACAGCACUCUGCUAACUCGUAAGAGGAUGUAUAGGGUGUGACGCCUGCCCGGUGCUCGAAGGUUAAUUGAUGGGGUUAGCAUUAGCGAAGCUCUUGAUCGAAGCCCGAGUAAACGGCGGCCGUAACUAUAACGGUCCUAAGGUAGCGAAAUUCCUUGUCGGUUAAAUACCGACCUGCAUGAAUGGCGUAACGAGAUGGGAGCUGUCUCAAAGAGGGAUCCAGUGAAAUUGUAGUGGAGGUGAAAAUUCCUCCUACCCGCGGCAAGACGGAAAGACCCCGUGGACCUUUACUACAGCUUGACACUGCUAUUUGGAUAAGAAUGUGCAGGAUAGGUGGGAGGCUUUGAGUAUAUGACGCCAGUUGUAUAUGAGCCAUUGUUGAGAUACCACUCUUUCUUAUUUGGGUAGCUAACCAGCUUGAGUUAUCCUCAAGUGGGACAAUGUCUGGUGGGUAGUUUGACUGGGGCGGUCGCCUCCCAAAUAAUAACGGAGGCUUACAAAGGUUGGCUCAUAGCGGUUGGAAAUCGCUAGUAGAGUAUAAAGGUAUAAGCCAGCUUAACUGCAAGACAUACAAGUCAAGCAGAGACGAAAGUCGGUCUUAGUGAUCCGGUGGUUCUGUGUGGAAGGGCCAUCGCUCAAAGGAUAAAAGGUACCCCGGGGAUAACAGGCUGAUCUCCCCCAAGAGCUCACAUCGACGGGGAGGUUUGGCACCUCGAUGUCGGCUCAUCGCAUCCUGGGGCUGGAGCAGGUCCCAAGGGUAUGGCUGUUCGCCAUUUAAAGCGGUACGCGAGCUGGGUUCAGAACGUCGUGAGACAGUUCGGUCCCUAUCUGCCGUGGGCGUAAGAAGAUUGAAGAGAUUUGACCCUAGUACGAGAGGACCGGGUUGAACAAACCACUGGUGUAGCUGUUGUUCUGCCAAGAGCAUCGCAGCGUAGCUAAGUUUGGAAAGGAUAAACGCUGAAAGCAUCUAAGCGUGAAGCCAACUCUAAGAUGAAUCUUCUCUAAGCUCUCUAGAAGACUACUAGUUUGAUAGGCUGGGUGUGUAAUGGAUGAAAGUCCUUUAGCUGACCAGUACUAAUAGAGCGUUUGGCUUAUCUU